UAAGCGGAGGAAAAGAAACCAACAGGGAUUGCCUCAGUAACGGCGAGUGAAGCGGCAACAGCUCAAAUUUGAAAUCUGGCCUCGGCCCGAGUUGUAAUUUGUAGAGGAAGCUUUUGGUGCGGCACCGACCGAGUCCCCUGGAACGGGGCGCCAUAGAGGGUGAGAGCCCCGUAUGGUUGGACGCCUAUCCUCUGUAAAGCUCCUUCGACGAGUCGAGUAGUUUGGGAAUGCUGCUCAAAAUGGGAGGUAAAUUUCUUCUAAAGCUAAAUAUUGGCCAGAGACCGAUAGCGCACAAGUAGAGUGAUCGAAAGAUGAAAAGCACUUUGAAAAGAGGGUUAAAUAGCACGUGAAAUUGUUGAAAGGGAAGCGCUUGUGACCAGACUUGCGCCUCGUCGAUCAUCCGGGGUUCUCCCCGGUGCACUCGGCGGGGCUCAGGCCAGCAUCGGUUUUCGUGGGGGGACAAAGGCACCGGGAACGUAGCUCCUCCGGGAGUGUUAUAGCCCGGGGCGUAAUGCCCUCGCGGGGACCGAGGACCGCGCUUCGGCAAGGAUGCUGGCGUAAUGGUCAUCAGCGACCCGUCUUGAAACACGGACCAAGGAGUCAAGGUUUUGCGCGAGUGUUUGGGUGUAAAACCCGCACGCGUAAUGAAAGUGAACGUAGGUGAGAGCUUCGGCGCAUCAUCGACCGAUCCUGAUGUAUUCGGAUGGAUUUGAGUAGGAGCGUUAAGCCUUGGACCCGAAAGAUGGUGAACUAUGCUUGGAUAGGGUGAAGCCAGAGGAAACUCUGGUGGAGGCUCGCAGCGG
rnacentral:rRNA from 1 species